GCCUUCGUGGUGUAGUGGGCAGCACGCUCGGCGCGUAUUCGAGAGGUCCGCGGUUCGAGUCCCGGGGAGGGCA
rnacentral:tRNA from 1 species